rnacentral:misc_RNA from 1 species
GAGAGCUUGUAAAAUGCUUGCAGAUCAAUUCAUUGGAGGCGCAGUUUCGGACUCAGACAGCAAGAAGUCCCAAGGACAGGAUCGUAAGAGCCCAAGAGGUUCCUCCAUUGACCCACUUGGUUUCUAUGCUUCCCAAUCGCAAGAGAUGGAAAGAGUGAAUGGCACGGAAGAAGUGCAGGCUAAUCUCCCUUGCCAAAGGGCUGAUUGUUCAACCGAAAGCUGCCUAACCUCCAAC